AUCUACUGGCCACUUUCUGGCACUCUUUCAGGAAGCACCACAGCAUGUUUUUUUUUUUAUUCUUAAAAUAAAAUCACAAUGCUUGCAUCAGAUAAGGAGGAGACGGACUGUUCCCGUCAAGUGAGGAAAAAAAGAAACUGAUUAGAGUGAAGUGAAAAUGUGGCGAAAGUGCCGAUAGAGUUCGACUAUUCCAAAACAACCAGCCUAAAUGAGUGGGGUGUGUAUUGAUAUAGUAUGCAAUAAACUCGGAGGCGGUUGAAGGUUUAGUCCACACAUAGAGCGAGGAUGCAGAUUCAUUCAGCGGCGGGACCGAGGAGGACUUCUCCCAACUUUGGACUCUCCUCGUCUGGGCGGUGCACUUGGACUAAACUACGCCCCCGACAGACUAACAAGCCCCUUGUGGAGGAUGAUCCUUUUACCAGCGGCACCAGCUCUCCCCUCUGCAUGAUGGCCUGAAGAUGCUUGCCCCUCUCCGAGCCUGAGUUGACCUCGGCGCGGAGCAGAUCCCCCGACGACAGUUGAAGAAGUCCAAGCUGGCUUCAUCUCCCUGACUGCACCUCUUCUUUCUGGAGCUAAAGUCAACCUGCAGUUUUCUCCUUCGUGACCCAAAAACAAAUCUGCGCCUUCUCCCUGUUGUAUUAAGUUGAAGUCAACCUUGCCUUCAUUUCCCUGACCGGACCUCUUCUCCCUCUGAAACAAAGGCACCAUCCUGUCUACCUUUACCAGGACCUGUAGUUCAAACGAUGCCAACCCUGCCUUCUUGUUUAUGCCGCCUGCACCUCCCCUCUAUUCUCAGAGCGAGGGGCUGGCCGCCGUCCCUUGGUUAUCCCCACAAGCGAGAGUCGUGCGCGGUUCCUGCUGAACGGCAGCCCUCCCUCCCCCACGCUAUGCCUUUUUAUAGCCUGGCUGAGCCUGCGCUGCAUUCUGGGUAAGAGGGCACCAGAGCAGAUAAGGAGGGGAGGGGAGGAGAGGCUGAGGAUGGAUAGGUGAAAUUAGAGACGGGAUGUCUAAAAGUAGCAGCAGUCUUUGAGUAUUUAGUAUUUAGAAAAUCUAUUCUUACUUAAUCGGAGAUAAUAUGAGGUGAAUAAAGGCUAUGGAGGUGGUGCAAUAACAGCGCAGGGACAAUGUAGAUAAAAUGUUUCACAAUCCGGGUUUUGUCAAGUUGCAUAUUGCGAGAAAACAUCAGGCACUGCAAUAGAAACGCAACAAAGUGGUGGUCAUAAUAAACCUCAAACAUUUUAUUUAACGUAUGGGGAACUUGAUCGCCUCCCCCAAAUGGAACAUAAAUACAAAAUAGAUUUAUAUAUUAUGUACAAAUUACGGCAGUGACAAAUACAAGCACAGCGGGUACUUUUUUCUAAAAAUAAAAAUGUUAAUUCACAGAAUAACUGCAGCUCCCAAUGUUGUCCAAAGACUUGCACUAUAUUGUAUUCUGAGGUACAAAAAUGAGGUAUGCAUGACCUUUGUUUAGAAAAACCAAACAAAAGAUAAAAGAAACCAGCUUGUAAUUUUUAACAUUUUCGUACCAUAGAACAAAUUUUCACAUUACUCCCAGUUAAAAAUCUCCUUGCUGCUGUUUAGCUGACCAAAAACUCUCAGCAACUUGUGUGAUUCUCAUGGUCAUCUUUACUGAAUUAUCUCACAAAAAUGUAGCUUUAAGACUUCUAUUCCCUGCAAUAUAAUUAUUACUAUUAUUGUAAAUACUAAUAUAGUGGUGUGGGGAAGGGGGGGAUAAUGAAACUGCACAAUGUAAUACAGGGCUUUAACCACAAGGGCUAAUAUUUCAUAAGUUCAAUACUGUACUCGAAUAAUACUAAGGAAGCAGCUUUGAGCGGAUAGUUUUUUUGUCAGGGGAUUUCAUUAUGCACUUAAAUAUACAGCAAGUGCUUUCAAGUUUUUAAGCUAGGCAUUUUUGACUUAACACUGAAUAGCGUUAGCCGCAUACUGUCACUGAACACCAGGAACACCAGUCUUGUACGAAUGCUUACAGCAGCAAUAAUUUUUAAAAAAUGUCUAUAAGCCUGAAAGAUUUGGCAUGUGUGUAAGCACUUUUAAGGGAAAAAAACCUACUGUAGAUAAAUAAUAAUUUAUAUAUAUAUCUAUAGAUACAUAUAUAUAUAUAUAUAUAUAUAUAUAUAUAUAUAUCUUUCAGUGCAAAUCAUUGAUUUCUCUGACUAGAAUUAAAUUAAUCUUAGAAGUUAAGAAUGUUUAAACGAUACUGUUGGUGUGCUUCUACAAAUACAAUCUCGAGUCUGGGGAGAAAAAAAUGCUGAUUAAGGCAUCAGAUGUUAUUUUGUUAGUGACAGCAAUCAAAUUUUGACAAAUCCCCUCACGACCGUGCAAAACUGCUGCAUGUAUUCUGUUAUAUUUACACAUAUUUCAUUAAGAAUUUGACAUGGCACCACCACCUGUCCCACACAUUUUUUUUUUGCAAGUGCACCGCCCUGUUAUUGUCGUUUUGGUAACCGCUGCACCGCAUCCUAGCUGGGGAAACCGCCCGGUGGCUCGAGGUCGGCAGAUUCUUCCGGGCUGUCCUGCUCGUCGGCGGAGAGCUGAACGCGCUGCUCAUCCAUACGCUUGGCCUGCACUCUCUGAAUUAGGCUAAAGAAGUCUUCGUCAGGCACCGUGGGAGCGUGGGGUCCUGCUUCUGGCGGGGAGCACCGCUGAUCGUCGAUCCGAGAGGACUAAGUCACACAUGUUCAAACAUAGCAAGGGCAAAUGUCACAAUAUGAAAUUAGCAUAUGAAUCAUUCAACUUGUGUGUGCUUCCUACAAUUCACCACAAGGACAACCAGUACAUAGACCAGGGGUGUCCAAACUUUUUCCACCAAGGGCCAAAUAUGUAUAAAUACACACAUAUAUAUAUAUAUGAUGCAACGUGGUAGAUACUGCAGUUUCAAAAUGUUAUUAAUAAUGCUGUGACGGUAUCAAACGAAAACUUUGUGAGUGGCAUGUCUGUAAAUAAACUGCAUCUCCCAGAAUCCUGGAUAGAGGGAAAGAUAAAUGCAGAGAUGUACAGAGACAUCCUGGAUGAAAACCAACACUUCCCAUCCAAUCUAAUGGAGUUUAAGAAGUGCUGCAAAGAGGAAUGUGCGAAACUGCUCAAAGAUAUUGUAGGUGGCCCAGCUUGUGGCAUCGUAUUCAAAAAGCCUUGAGGCUGUAAUUGCUGCCAAAUGGGCAUCAACAAAGUAUUAAGCAAAGGCUCUUAAUACUUAUCGACAUGUGAUUUUUCUGUUGUUUUUUUUAAUACAUUUGCUAAAAUUUCUACAGAUCUGGGUUUUUUCUAUCGUCAAUAUGGGGUGCCGAGUGUACAUUCAUGAGAAAUAAAAAUUAACUUAAUUUUUGAUUUUGAGAAAUGGCUGCAUUGCAACAAGAGUGAAAGAUUUAAAAGGGUCUAAAUACUUUCCGUACCCACUGUAACUUCAAAAAAAUAUUUCAAUAUGUUGACGCAAAAGCAAUUUUACUGUCAGAAUGUUAAACACAAUUUAAAUAAAAUGUUUUACUACAUUUAUAGAAUGUAUUCACUCAAAACGUGGUAUUAAAUUCAGUCCCACUGGGUGUGUUUUCAAGCACUACUUGUCACAGUCAGAGUCCCCUCACUCAUCUUUGCAGACCGUGUAACAACCCACUCCACCUUUCAGCUCACCCUCAAAGAGCAUGUGUGGUGUUUUGCCUGAUUAAUCUGCAUUAAUACAUGGUUAACACGAUACAUUUUUGUGAUUAAUCACACAAGUUCACACGGUAAAUUUGGUUUGUUUUUGUUUGAUUUUAUUUCGACAAUGUGCUCCAAGCCACAAAUUCCCCCCAGGCUGUAGCUUGGACACCCCUGAGAACGACUAAAAAAGCCCCUGCACAAAGCCAAGUCCCAUAACAGCAGGCAUGCUUGGAUGCAUCUGGUGGAGAACAAUGUGUGAAGACCCCUGACCUUUGACCUCAUCAAACCGCCCUCUACAAGAACCAAGUAGUGAGGAUAGCUUCCUCCACUUUAACUGAUGUAUCACUACCUACACAGCCAUUUGCAGCUUCUCCCAUUUGGACGGAGGUUUUUAGUCCAAAUAAAACGGUACAGAUGUAGUUUUGUCCCAGCUGCCAUCACAGAAGUACCUCUUUGCCUAUAUUUAUUUUAGUGCAAUUUAUUCUUUUAUUCUGGCUUGUCCCAAAUCUUAUCUGAUUUGGAUUUUACAUGUUUUAUCCUUUUUAAGGGGAACUUUGAGUACAUGUACUAUUUUGUGAUCUUGGCAAUGUUUGUGAUGCUUGUUAUGUGGUAGGUCUUUGUAUUGCAUAUCUAAGAUGUUCCUUUCUCUGUAUGUUUAAAUGGAUGACCUGAUCUUGCUGGCUGCAAAACAAGUUUACCUUCGGGUACUAAUAAAGUAACCUAACCUAACCUCAUCAAACACGUCUUGAUGAACUAGAACAGAUCUAAUUGAGCAAGCAUUUUGCAAAAGGGAAUUUUCUACCAUUUUAACGUGUCCCAGUACUUUAGUCCACCGCGUUAUUACCUGGCACUUGAUGAGCAUGUUGAAGAAGUCGUCGCUGGGCUCUUGAUCGCCUUCACCCACCAGGUGGCCCAGGUUGUUCUGGGUGAUCCUGAGACCCGGAAGA